rnacentral:rRNA from 1 species
GGUUUAAUUCGAAGCAACGCGCAGAACCUUACCAACCCUUGACAUCCCCGGACCGCUGGAGAGAUUCAGCUUCCCCGUAAGGGGCCGGGUGACAGGUGCUGCAUGGCUGUCGUCAGCUCGUGUCGUGAGAUGUUCGGUUAAGUCCGGCAACGAGCGCAACCCACACCCCUGGUUGCCAUCAUUGGUUGGGCACUCUAGGGGAACUGCCCGUGAUAAGCGGGA